UCAGCCAGUGAGACGGUAGGGGAUAAGCUCCAUCGUCGAGAGGGAAACAGCCCAGAUCACCAGCUAAGGCCCCUAAAUGGCCGCUAAGUGGCAAAGGAUGUGAGAGUGCAAAGACAGCCAGGAGGGUUGCCUAGAAGCAGCUACCCUUGAAAGAGUGCGUAAUAGCUCACUGAUCGAGCGCUCUCGAGCCGAAGAUGAACGGGACUAAGGGGUCUGCCGAGGCUGUGGGAUGUCUUCUUUGAUAUAAAACAUCGGUAGGGGAGCGUUCCGCGUUAGGCUGAAGCAUUAGCGCAAGCAGGUGUGGACGCGGCGGAAGCGAGAAUGUCGGCUUGAGUAACGCAAACAUUGGUGAGAAUCCAAUGCCCCGAAUACCCAAGGGUUCCUCCGCAAGGCUCGUCCACGGGGGGUUAGUCAGGGCCUAAGAUCAAG
rnacentral:rRNA from 1 species